GCUUCGGUGGCGUAGUGGUCAAGGCGCUUGCCUGGUUAACAGGAGGGUGCGGGCUCGAUCCCAUUCGAGGCA
rnacentral:tRNA from 1 species